UCAUGUAAGCUCUGUACUCUGUUGAAGGUAAGGCUCUCACAAAUCCUCAUCCAGCGUUAGACAAAUAAAGUCAACAUAGUUUUUUAGUCUAUCUUUAAAACACUAAUAUAAACGUAAUGCAAAUUCCGAUUAUUAUUAUAUUUUAUUUGUCUCACGAAACAUAUAUCGUGACUUAUAUAUUGAAAUUAUAUUUGGGUCGUUCUCAGUUCUAAGAACUUAUCAUACGUUAGUGUCAUUAUGUUUUCGCAUUUGACACCGAAUGCAGAUCUUUCUCCGGUUAUCCACUUGAUAAUAACGAAGCCGGUAGUAGUAUGUGACUGACUGUCUAAGUGUAACCAGUGUUUUGUACAUAGACGGAUAAGCAAUAUGCAACUUACAGUUUCAGUGGCUAUACUUUUUUGUGCAUUAAUCUCUAUUAUUUAUUGCAGCCCUUAUAAUGGUCUACAUAUACCAUCGGAGUGUGUCGACAACCCUUAUUUUUCAGACUGCAGUCUUGUUGUGAGAAGUAAAUUUUGUAAUCACAAAUUUUAUUCAACGUAUUGCUGCGAGUCGUGUGUAACGGCGGGGCAACUUGACCCUGUGGGUACGUUGCGGCAGCCUUUUAGUGAUUAUUAUUAGAAACUGCAUAGAAUUAAUCGUAAGGUUUAAUAUGGUAGUCAUAUUUAGAAAGUAAUGGUAUGGAUAAGUAGUUUUAAACAUUUCUCUAAUUUUAAUUUUUUUUUCUCAUUUUGUACUUUUUUAAUUUUUAUUUGUUAUCAGUUUUGAUCCUAAUACAAAAGAAGACAAAUACAACAUAUCAAAAAUCAUUCAAAUCCGUUCAACAGUUUAGCCAUUAAAUUUAGUGUCUUAACUAACACUUUUUUUACUUUACUUUUACAUAAUAUAUGAAUUAGUAUGUCUUACGGCUGGUUUAAUAUAUCGAAAUGUAGCCAUAUGAAGGCAAAAUAAUAUAUUUACAGUAGUUUUUAACUAGUCUUCAAAAGUUGUAGCUUAUAGUCCAUUAGAAAUAUUAUUUUUUUUAGAACCUAGGUUGUGUUUCGCAAUUUUAGGCUUAGCUGAUCAGCAAACCAACUCAUUAAGAUAUAAAAAAACUCAAGAUGCAAUCUCAUGUAAAAACUAACGCUCUAGUAACGCUAAACACUCACCGAGUAUACCCAGGACAUUGUUACGCUUUAAUAUAAUAAAGCAUAUAGUUUUUCAAAUUCAACCAAACGCGAAUAUGUUAUUUUUAAAAAGUUGCGCCUAGAGUGACACGAGACUGUUGGAAAUGAGCGCACAAUUUGAACGUUGCGCUCAUUCCUAAGUGAAAAUUAGAAACGUAUGUGCAUCUUGGGCUUUUUUAGAUAUCAAUGAACCAACCUAAGACAAUGUUCUAAUAUUUCAAAUGUUUAUAUACGGUUCUAGUAGUAUAUCAUUCUCUAGCUAUAUAUAAAUAUAAUGUUGUUCGGUUUA